GAAAAAACCGGAAACAGUUUUACUUUCCAUGGAUCCGUUGCAUUGACCAGACCGGUCUCCCUUAAAAUCUCCCAGCAGCGCGCGCGGUGUUUUAGAAUGCAGCAUUAUGAGAGGCACGCGGGGCUGAAGGUAACAUGGCGGAUGGACAGGGCUCCGUCAUGAUCGACAUCUGCUGAAUACCACAAGCGCACGAUAGUUUGUUAAAGUGGUCCCAGGGUUGCUAGAGCUCGUCUCGGGCGGCUUCUGCUGAGUGAAGGCGCGAUACAUAGACUGACAGCACAGAUGUGGGAGGUGAAUGCACCCUCAAGGGCCUUUGUGUCAACAUGAACGAAGAUCCAGAGAGGCUGUUGAAAGAAUAUAAGGUAUGUUUGUCUGGUUAGACUUUAUUCUUUUUACAUUUUACUGUAAAAUAAAUUAAUAAAACACAUUUAUACAGAAAAAGAAACUGGGACGCUUAUCCAAAUGUCUGUUUCUCCCACUAAAACAAAUGUCUACAUUUUUGCAAAGAUGGAUGUACAUAUUGUGCAUUUCCCUUUAGUGGCUUCAGCAUUCACCUGCACUCUCAACAGCAGCCCCUCCCAUACCCACAAAAACAAGCGGGUCCUCGCAUGCUGAUGUCACAGAUUGAGAACAGCCUCCUUAAGGAAGAGUCUGCUCUGCCAACUCUUGGGCUGUAGUUCAAUACUUACAGUAAGUGGUGAUCCAAUUUGAUUCACUAAUUAAGCUAAAAAAUUCACAAAUUGAACCAGGAUUCUUACUUUUGAAUAAGGCUGGAAAGAGUAUCCGGGUGCACGGAUACUCGCAAUUAUCUUGGGAUGAUGUAUUUUUGCUCUGCAAUGCAGAAUAAUGUUGGAUUUUAAGCUUAUGAGCUAAAACUAAGCUGAAAAAGCAGCGUUACUUUCACCAGACGUAAACACAUCUUUGUGUGGGCGAAGCUUCCUGUUUUCAAAGUAAGACUAGCGGGACCCAGAGGAGGACAUAUGGAUGGAGUGAGACGAUGCGAUCUUGAGUCUUAAAGGAAACAGCUGGAAAAAAAAGAAGGCUUUAUCUUUUUGACAUAUAUAUUUUUAUUUUUUUCCCAUUGUGGGUUUGUGUGUUCUGAACAGACAGGUACAAACAAUGUUUUUGUUCAUUUACAUUUCAAAGUAGACUUUUAAAGGCACUAGAAUGAGGUGAAAUUAAGAUCAGCUUAAAGUUAACGAAGAAUCACAUUGUAAAUUUUAAUUUAAACGAACAUUUGAAAAUAAAAUUGUAAAUCUGAAAAGAAAAGUAUUUGAAAGAAAUAUUGAAAAAAAA